rnacentral:rRNA from 1 species
AUGCCGCCGCCGCCGCCGCUGCACGCCGUCGCCUCCCUCCCCUACCAAUGCUCCGUCCUCCUCCGCCAGCUUGCCGCGCGCCACUCCCCUGUCCCGGCCUCCCCCCGCUCCUUCCUCCGCGCCCUGCGCCGCCUCCACGCGCGCCUCCUCACCGCCGCGCUCCUCCACGACCCGUCCCACCCCCACCUCACGCUCCGCCUCCUCCACCUCUACACCCUCUCGCCCGACCUCGCCGCCCCGGCGAUCCUCUUCCGCUCCGACCCCGGCCCCAUCGCCGCCACGUCCCUCGUCUCCGCCUACGCCGUCGCCGGCCGCCUCCCCGAUGCCGCCUCCUUCUUCGACUCCGUCCCGCUCCCCCGCCGGGACACCGUGCUCCACAACGCCAUGAUAUCCGCGUUCGCCCGCGCCUCCCUCGCCGCGCCCGCGCUCUCCGUGUUCCGCUCCCUGCUUUGCUCUGACUCCCUUCGCCCCGAUGACUACUCCUUCACCGCGCUCCUCAGCGCCGUCGGCCACAUGCACAACCUCGCGGCGUCGCACUGCACGCAGCUGCACGGAGCCGUCCUCAAACUGGGCGCCGGGGCUGUCUUGUCGGUGUCCAACGCGCUCAUUGCGCUGUACAUGAAAUGUGAUGCACCUGAGGUGUCCCGGGACGCACGGAAGGUGCUUGACGAAAUGCCGGUUAAGGAUGAGCUCUCGUGGACUACUAUAGUCGUGGGCUAUGUCAGGAAAGGCGAUGUCCAUGCUGCUAGAUCAGCCUUUGAAGAGGUUGAUGCAGAGUUUGAUGUCGUGUGGAAUGCGAUGAUUUCUGGGUAUGUGCAAUCGGGAAUGUGUGCAGAGGCGUUUGAGCUGUUCAGGAGGAUGGUGUCGAAAAGGAUACCACCUGACGAAUUCACAUUUACUAGCGUCCUGAGUGCAUGUGCAAAUGCUGGUUUCUUUCUUCAUGGGAAGUCUGUCCAUGGGCAGUUCAUUCGGUUGCAGCCAAAUUUUGUUCCUGAGGCAGCUUUACCUGUUAACAAUGCGCUGGUGACCUUAUACUCCAAGUCCGGGAAGAUUUCUGUUGCUGCAAGGAUAUUUGACAGUAUGACUUUGAAGGAUGUCGUUUCUUGGAACACCAUUUUGUCAGGGUAUAUCGAGAGCGGUUGCUUGGACAAUGCAGCUAGGGUAUUUAAGGAGAUGCCAUAUAAAAGUGAGUUAUCAUGGAUGGUGAUGGUAUCGGGGUAUGUUCACGGAGGUCUCUCAGAAGAUGCUCUGAAGCUGUUUAACCAGAUGAGGUCUGAGGAUGUCAAGCCAUGUGAUUACACCUAUGCUGGUGCAGUAGCUGCAUGUGGUGAACUUGGAGCGUUGAAGCAUGGAAAGCAGCUCCACGCACAUAUUGUGCAGUGUGGUUUCGAGGCAAGCAAUUCUGCGGGAAAUGCACUACUAACCAUGUAUGGUAAAUGUGGUGCUGUGAAAGAUGCUCGUCUUGUGUUCCUUGUGAUGCCCAAUGUUGACUCUGUCUCAUGGAAUGCCAUGAUUGCAGCCCUUGGGCAGCAUGGACACGGUAGAGAGGCACUUGACCUCUUUGACCAGAUGGUUGCUAAAGGCAUAUAUCCUGAUCGGAUUUCAUUCCUCACAAUUUUAACAGCCUGCAAUCAUGCUGGCUUAGUAGACGAAGGAUUUCAAUAUUUUGAGUCCAUGAAAAGGGACUUUGGCAUUAGCCCUGGAGAAGAUCACUAUGCCCGGCUGAUAGAUUUGCUUGGCCGGGCUGGAAGAAUCGGAGAAGCAAUGGAUUUGAUCAAGACGAUGCCUUUUGAGCCUACCCCUGCCAUUUGGGAGGCAAUUCUCUCUGGCUGUCGGAUUAAUGGAGAUACGGAACUUGGUGCUUAUGCGGCGGAUCAGCUCUUUGAGAUGAUACCGCAGCAUGAUGGCACAUACAUACUACUGUCCAACACAUAUUCAGCUGCUGGACGCUGGGUUGAUGCUGCACGAGUAAGGAAGCUAAUGCGUGAUCGUGGGGUGAAGAAGGAACCCGGAUGCAGCUGGAUAGAAGUUGGAAACAAGGUUCACGUGUUUGUUGUUGGUGACACGAAACAUCCGGAAGCGCAUGAAGUCUACAAGUUCCUUGAAAUGGUUGGUGCUAAGAUGAGAAAGCUGGGAUAUGUUCCUGAUACAAAGUUUGUCCUGCAAGAUAUGGCACCCCAUCAAAAGGAAUACGUAUUAUUUGCGCACAGUGAGAAACUGGCAGUUAGUUUUGGACUUCUAAACUUGCCUCUUGGAGCUACAGUUACAGUUCUUAAAAACUUGAGAAUAUGCGGCGAUUGUCAUACUGCGAUGAUGUUCAUGUCACUGGCAGUUGGACGGGAGAUUGUCGUUAGGGAUGUUAAGCGGUUUCAUCAUUUCAAGGACGGAGAAUGUUCAUGUGGUAAUUAUUGGUGA